AAUUUCACUUACUUUUAAGAACUGAAUGUGAACAUUUAUAGAGUUGAAUUUUCAGUGAGGAUAAAAUAUAGUUUCAGAGAAACUGAAUUCAAUUUCAUAAUGUUACAUUCAGUUUAAAGUUUAUUGGGCUUAAGUUCGAAACUAAUGAAUUCAAUUUCAAAUUAUUCAAUUCAGAUUC